rnacentral:rRNA from 1 species
AUAAUUACUCCAUAGAUUAGAGACACUGGAAUGUUCUUUAGUCGAAAGUUCUGGCGCCUUAGGAUGGAUCUGCGGUCGAUUAGGUUGUUGUUGGGGUAACGGCCCAACAAGCCUGUAAUCGAUACGGGUUGUGGGAGCAAGAGCCCGGAGAUGGAAUCUGAGACACGAUUCCAGGCCCUACGGGGCGCAGCAGGCGCGAAAACUUUACAAUGCAGGGAACUGUGAUAAGGGAACUCCGAGUGCCCGUAUACGCGGGCUGUCCAGGUGUUUAAAAAUCAUCUGAAGAAAGGGCCGGGCAAGACCGGUGCCAGCCGCCGCGGUAAUACCGGCGGCUCGAGUGGUGGCCACUAUUAUUGGGCUUAAAGCGUCCGUAGCUGGACCGAUAAGUCUCUUGGGAAAUCCGCCGGCUCAACCGGCGGGCGUCUAAGGGAUACUGUUAGUCUAGGGACCGGGAGAGGUGAGAGGUACUCCGGGGGUAGGAGUGAAAUCCUGUAAUCCCCGGGGGACCACCGAUGGCGAAGGCAUCUCACCAGAACGGCUCCGACAGUGAGGGACGAAAGCUGGGGGAGCGAACCGGAUUAGAUACCCGGGUAGUCCCAGCCGUAAACUAUGCGCGUUAGGUGU